GCGGAGGGAAGGGCCGGGCGCGGCGAGUCGAGGACGACGGCUGCGGACUUGUUUGGGAGGCAUUUCGCAGAGGAGGGGCGGGCGGGGCGCAGGUGGGACGAGGGAACAGGCUGAGGGUGAGGACGGUGGGUGGGAUUUUCCGCGGGCAGAGGGAGCAGAGGAGCGGGAAGCUCAGACCCAAGACCGCUGGAGAGGAGGUGGCUGCUGAGCGUCUGGCGAAGAGGCCAGAGGGGCUGCAGUGAG